rnacentral:rRNA from 1 species
GAUGAACGCUGGCGGCGUGCCUAAUACAUGCAAGUCGAGCGAACGGACGAGAAGCUUGCUUUUCUGAUGUUAGCGGCGGACGGGUGAGUAACACGUGGAUAACCUACCUAUAAGACUGGGAUAACUUCGGGAAACCGGAGCUAAUACCGGAUAAUAUUUUGAACCGCAUUGUUCAAAAGUGAAAGACGGUCUUUCUGUCACUUAUAGAUGGAUCCGCGCUGCAUUAGCUAGUUGGUAAGGUAACGGCUUACCAAGGCAACGAGGCAUAGCCGACCUGAGAGGGUGAUCGGCCACACUGGAACUGAGACACGGUCCAGACUCCUACGGGAGGCAGCAGUAGGGAAUCUUCCGCAAUGGGCGAAAGCCUGACGGAGCAACGCCGCGUGAGUGAUGAAGGUCUUCGGAUCGUAAAACUCUGUUAUUAGGGAAGAACAUAUGUGUAAGUAACUGUGCACAUCUUGACGGUACCUAAUCAGAAAGCCACGGCUAACUACGUG